rnacentral:rRNA from 1 species
GAUGAACGCUGGCGGCGUGCCUAAUACAUGCAAGUCGAGCGAACGGACGCGAAUCUUGCUUCUCUGAUGUUAGCGGCGGACGGGUGUGUAACACGUGGAUAACCUACCUAUAAGACUGGGAUAACUUCGGGAAACCGUCGCUAAUACCGGAUAAUCUUUUGAACCGCAUGGUUCAAAAGUGAAAGACGGUCUUGCUGUCACUUAUAGAUGGAUCCGCGCUGCAUUAGCUAGUUGGUAAGGUAACGGCUUACCAAGGCAACGAUGCAUAGCCGACCUGAGAGGGUGAUCGGCCACACUGGAACUGAGACACGGUCCAGACUCCUACGGGAGGCAGCAGUAGGGAAUCGUACGCAAUGGGCGAAAGCCUGACGGAGCAACGCCGCGUGAGUGAUGAAGGUCUUCGGAUCGUAAAACUCUGUUAUUAGGGAAGAACAGAUGUGUAAGUAACUGUGCACAUCUUGACGGUACCUAAUCAGAAAGCCACGGCUAACUACGUG